AUGACCUCAAAUCAKAUGAGACUACCCGCUGAACUUAAGCAUAUCAAUAAGCGGAGGAAAAGAAACUAACAAGGAUUCCCUCAGUAACGGCGAGUGAAGAGGGAAGAGCUCAGUUUUGAA
rnacentral:rRNA from 1 species